UGGUGGGUAGUUUGACUGGGGCGGUCUCCUCCCAAAGAGUAACGGAGGAGCACGAAGGUUGGCUAAUCCUGGUCGGACAUCAGGAGGUUAGUGCAAUGGCAUAAGCCAGCUUGACUGCGAGCGUGACGGCGCGAGCAGGUGCGAAAGCAGGUCAUAGUGAUCCGGUGGUUCUGAAUGGAAGGGCCAUCGCUCAACGGAUAAAAGGUACUCCGGGGAUAACAGGCUGAUACCGCCCAAGAGUUCAUAUCGACGGCGGUGUUUGGCACCUCGAUGUCGGCUCAUCACAUCCUGGGGCUGAAGUAGGUCCCAAGGGUAUGGCUGUUCGCCAUUUAAAGUGGUACGCGAGCUGGGUUUAGAACGUCGUGAGACAGUUCGGUCCCUAUCUGCCGUGGGCGCUGGAGAAUUGAGGGGGGCUGCUCCUAGUACGAGAGGACCGGAGUGGACGCAUCACUGGUGUUCGGGUUGUCAUGCCAAUGGCACUGCCCGGUAGCUAAAUGCGGAAGAGAUAAGUGCUGAAAGCAUCUAAGCACGAAACUUGCCCCGAGAUGAGUUCUCCCUGAGACCUUGAGUCUCCUGAAGGAACGUUGAAGACGACGACGUUGAUAGGUCGGGUGUGUAAGCGCAGCGAUGCGUUGAGCUAACCGAUACUAAUGAACCGUGAGGCUUAACCUU
rnacentral:rRNA from 1 species